rnacentral:rRNA from 1 species
UUCCGGUUGAUCCUGCCGGACCCGACUGCUAUUUGGGUGAGGAUAAGCCAUGCGAGUCGAAUGGGAUACCUAAAUUUCCCAUGGCAAACUGCUCAGUAACACAUGAUCAACUUACCCUAUAGAGAAAAAUAACCUCGGGAAACUGAGGAUAAUGAUUCAUAGUUGAAAAGGCUUGGAAAAGUUUUUCAAUAAAAGGAUAAGAAAAAUGGUUCUUAUCCGCUAUAGGAUAGGAUCGUGCUCGAUUAUGGUUGUUGGUGAGGUAAUGGCUCACCAAGCCGAUAAUCGAUAGGGGCCGUGAGAGCGGGAGCCCCGAGAUGGGUACUGAGACAACGACCCAGGCCUUACGAGGCGCAGCAGGCGCGAAACUUCCGCAAUACACGAAAGCGUGACGGAGUUACCCAAAGUGUUCAAUUUUGAACUGUGAUAGGUGAGUAAUGUCCCCUAUUAGAAAGGAGAGGGCAAGGCUGGUGCCAGCCGCCGCGGUAGAACCAGCUCUUCAAGUGGUCGGGAUAAUUAUUGGGCUUAAAGUGUCCGUAGCCGGUUUAGUAAGUUCCUGGUAAAAUCGGGUAGCUUAACUAUCUGUAUGCUAGGAAUACUGCUAUACUAGAGGGCGGGAGAGGUCUGAGGUACUACAGGGGUAGGGGUGAAAUCUUAUAAUCCUUGUAGGACCACCAGUGGCGAAGGCGUCAGACUGGAACGCGCCUGACGGUGAGGGACGAAAGCCAGGGGAGCGAACCGGAUUAGAUACCCGGGUAGUCCUGGCCGUAAACGAUGCAUACUAUGUGAUGGUGUGGCCAUGAGCCGUGUCAGUGCCGUAGGGAAACCGUUAAGUGUGCCGCCUGGGAAGUACGGUCGCAAGGCUAAAACUUAAAGGAAUUGGCGGGGGAGCACACAAGGGGUGAAGCCUGCGGUCAAUUGGAAUCAACGCCGGU